rfam:Triticum aestivum genome assembly, contig: Triticum_aestivum_CS42_TGACv1_scaffold_604758_7DL
CUGUAUGAUGCUAACCCCGGGCUUGUCGGACGGACCUUGGUCCGCUGUGAUGAAGGAAAGCCCCAAUGCUGCUAGAUCCACACCGCUGUUCAGUAUGAGCAGCCUGUGUCAGAGUAACGGAUGCAUUC